rnacentral:rRNA from 1 species
AUUGAACGCUGGCGGAAUGCUUUACACAUGCAAGUCGAACGGCAGCAUAGGUGCUUGCACCUGAUGGCGAGUGGCGAACGGGUGAGUAAUACAUCGGAACGUGCCUAGUCGUGGGGGAUAACGUAGCGAAAGUUACGCUAAUACCGCAUACGAUCUAAGGAUGAAAGCGGGGGACCGUAAGGCCUCGCGCGAUUGGAGCGGCCGAUGUCAGAUUAGGUAGUUGGUGAGGUAAAGGCUCACCAAGCCGACGAUCUGUAGCUGGUCUGAGAGGACGACCAGCCACACUGGGUCGGAGACACGGCCCAGACUCCUACGGGAGGCAGCAGUGGGGAAUUUUGGACAAUGGACGCAAGUCUGAUCCAGCCAUUCCGCGUGCAGGACGAAGGCCUUCGGGUUGUAAACUGCUUUUGUACGGAACGAAAAAGCUCUUACUAAUACUAGGAGUCCAUGACGGUACCGUAAGAAUAAGCACCGGCUAACUACGUGCCAGCCGCCGCAGUAA